rnacentral:rRNA from 1 species
CGAGCGAACAGACGAGGAGCUUGCUCCUUUGACGUUAGCGGCGGCGGGUGAGUAACACGUGGGUAACCUACCUAUAAGACUGGGUUAACUUCGGGAAACCGGAGCUAAUACCGGAUAAUAUUUCGAACCGCAUGGUUCGAUAGUGAAAGAUGGCUUUGCUAUCACUUAUAGAUGGACCUGCGCCGUAUUAGCUAGUUGGUAAGGUAACGGCUUACCAAGGCAACGAUACGUAGCCGACCUGAGAGGGUGAUCGGCCACACUGGAACUGAGACACGGUCCAGACUCCUACGGGAGGCAGCAGUAGGGAAUCUUCCGCAAUGGGCGAAAGCCUGACGGAGCAACGCCGCGUGAGUGAUGAAGGUCUUCGGAUCGUAAAACUCUGUUAUUAGGGAAGAACAAACGUGUAAGUAACUGUGCACGUCUUGACGGUACCUAAUCAGAAAGCCACGGCUAACUACGUGCCAGCAGCCGCGGUAAUACGUAGGUGGCAAGCGUUAUCCGGAAUUAUUGGGCGUAAAGCGCGCGUAGGCGGUUUUUUAAGUCUGAUGUGAAAGCCCACGGCUCAACCGUGGAGGGUCAUUGGAAACUGGAAAACUUGAGUGCAGAAGAGGAAAGUGGAAUUCCAUGUGUAGCGGUGAAAUGCGCAGAGAUAUGGAGGAACACCAGUGGCGAAGGCGACUUUCUGGUCUGUAACUGACGCUGAUGUGCGAAAGCGUGGGGAUCAAACAGGAUUAGAUACCCUGGUAGUCCACGCCGUAAACGAUGAGUGCUAAGUGUUAGGGGGUUUCCGCCCCUUAGUGCUGCAGCUAACGCAUUAAGCACCUCCGCCUGGGGAGUAAGAACCCACCGCAAAGGUUU